CGCCGGACCUUCAAAACGGGGUCAUAUUGUAUAUUGAUGAAAUUCAAAUGUUUAAAACUUAAUGUCAUCUCUUUAUUAAGUACCCUGCAUUUUGAACAGAAAACUAUCAUUGUUAAACAUGUUCAAAUCAAAUUGUUUUACAGCAUAUUAGUUUUUCAAUAUCAACACAAGAAUCUUUUCAUUGAAUAAAUCGCGAAAACUUUUCUCGUCCCUCACAAAAAAAAAAAAAAAAAAA
rnacentral:lncRNA from 1 species